GAUUUAUAUAGAAGAGGCAAGAGACAGGCUCGGUGACCCUCUGGCAACCUGGAAAAUCCAAGGUGCCAAUUCCUGCCAGAUGAAAUAGGUUACAUCUGGGAAUAUAAAUU
rnacentral:ncRNA from 2 species